AGUGAACGCUGGCGGUAGGCCUAACACAUGCAAGUCGAACGGCAGCACAGAGGAGCUUGCUCCUUGGGUGGCGAGUGGCGGACGGGUGAGGAAUACAUCGGAAUCUACUCUGUCGUGGGGGAUAACGUAGGGAAACUUACGCUAAUACCGCAUACGACCUACGGGUGAAAGCAGGGGAUCUUCGGACCUUGCGCGAUUGAAUGAGCCGAUGUCGGAUUAGCUAGUUGGCGGGGUAAAGGCCCACCAAGGCGACGAUCCGUAGCUGGUCUGAGAGGAUGAGCAGCCACACUGGAACUGAGACACGGUCCAGACUCCUACGGGAGGCAGCAGUGGGGAAUAUUGGACAAUGGGCGCAAGCCUGAUCCAGCCAUACCGCGUGGGUGAAGAAGGCCUUCGGGUUGUAAAGCCCUUUUGUUGGGAAAGAAAUCCAUCUGGUUAAUACCCGGGUGGGAUGACGGUACCCAAAGAAUAAGCACCGGCUAACUUCGUGCCAGCAGCCGCCGUAAUAC
rnacentral:rRNA from 1 species